rnacentral:rRNA from 1 species
AGCGAACGCUGGCGGCAGGCCUAACACAUGCAAGUCGAACGGACCCUUCGGGGUUAGUGGCGGACGGGUGAGUAACACGUGGGAACGUGCCUUUAGGUUCGGAAUAGCUCCUGGAAACGGGUGGUAAUGCCGAAUGUGCCCUUCGGGGGAAAGAUUUAUCGCCGUUAGAGCGGCCCGCGUCUGAUUAGCUAGUUGGUGAGGUAAUGGCUCACCAAGGCGACGAUCAGUAGCUGGUCUGAGAGGAUGACCAGCCACAUUGGGACUGAGACACGGCCCAAACUCCUACGGGAGGCAGCAGUGGGGAAUCUUACGCAAUGGGCGAAAGCCUGACGCAGCCAUGCCGCGUGGAUGAUGAAGGUCUUAGGAUUGUAAAAUCCUUUCACCGGUGAAGAUAAUGACUGUAGCCGGAGAAGAAGCCCCGGCUAACUUCGUGCCAGCAGCCGCCGUAA